UACGAAGGGGGGCUAGCGUUGCUCGGAAUCACUGGGCGUAAAGGGUGCGUAGGCGGGGUCUUUUAAGUCAGGGGUGAAAUCCUGGAGCUCAACUCCAGAACUGCCUUUGAUACUGAAGAUCUUGAGUUCGGGAGAGGUGAGUGGAACUGCGAGUGUAGAGGUGAAAUUCGUAGAUAUUCGCAAGAACACCAGUGGCGAAGGCGGCUCACUGGCCCGAUACUGACGCUGAGGCACGAAAGCGUGGGGAAGCAAACAGGG
rnacentral:rRNA from 1 species